rnacentral:tRNA from 1 species
GGGGGGCUAGCUCAGCUGGGAGAGCACGACGUUCGCAACGUCGGGGUCGCGGGUUCGACUCCCGUGCCCUCCACCA